rnacentral:rRNA from 1 species
UGGGGAAUAUUGCACAAUGGGCGCAAGCCUGAUGCAGCCAUGCCGCGUGUAUGAAGAAGGCCUUCGGGUUGUAAAGCACUUUCAGCGGGGAGGAAGGUGUUGAGGUUAAUAACCUCAGCAAUUGACGUUACCCGCAGAAGAAGCACCGGCUAACUCCGUGCCAGCAGCCGCGGUAAUACGGAGGGUGCAAGAGUUAAUCGGAAUUACUGGGCGUAAAGCGCACGCAGGCGGUCUGUCAAGUCGGAUGUGAAAUCCCCGGGCUCAACCUGGGAACUGCAUUCGAAACUGGCAGGCUAGAGUCUUGUAGAGGGGGGUAGAAUUCCAGGUGUAGCGGUGAAAUGCGUAGAGAUCUGGAGGAAUACCGGUGGCGAAGGCGGCCCCCUGGACAAAGACUGACGCUCAGGUGCGAAAGCGUGGGGAGCAAACA